ACUCUGAAGUUCCGCGAUCUUCUCUUUGUGCGCGGGCGGAUGGAUCAACGCCGCCAAGUGGGUAAGGUCUGAGGAUUGCGUCAUUAGGCGAUUUUGUUGCUGUACGAACACCACAGAAUGUACUUUGACGACCUAGAUGGUGGAGCCUGGACACACCUCGGCUGUGUGGUGUGGCCUGCUGCUUCCAGGCUGCAAACCUGACAGCAUGGGGCUGUGCUGAAUACCGCAGACCAUUGUAAUUCAUGGGGAAAGCGUGAACGCAGUCCCCCACUACAACUAAUUAUGCAGUCGAGUUUUCCACAUUUGGGAAUAUCUCAGGGGUCAGCACAUCCGGAGUGCAAUCGAUGAGCCUCACGCUGGGAAAAACCACCUUCGUGAUCAUGGUAUCUUCCCUGCCAGCAACCUAAUCACAGAGCCUCCCAGCCCGAUGCUACAAAGAGCCGCAUGCUGCCAGUUUCCUUGUGGGCAGGGACCUAUGUAUUAUAAUGGUGAAUAUAUUUAUACUUGAAUCCACAGAGAAGACACAGUAGACUAGUCAUACCAUUGUGAGUAGUGCUCAGAUUCUUUCUUGACCCCCCAUCAUCCAAAAAUAUACCUUUCCAGUGUGGCAGUCUUGAACUUUUCCAAAUUCAGCUGCUGUUGGAGCUCUUCUGUUUUUCCCAGGGAAGGCCGGAGAACUGUAUUUCUGGCCAGAGCUGCUGCAGAAGGUCUCUGUUCGGCAUCAGGUUGGAUCAUGUUCUGAUGAUAUAGGACCAAGAGGAAAGAAACAGAAGCUUCGCUAUUGGGAAAAAUCUUCCCAUUCAAGCCAACUCCAACCCAGCUUCUCCUGGUGGAUUUUAGAGAAACCAAUCAGCUUCAUUUUCAACUUCUUCUAUGACUCCAGAGGAUUCACUUUGCAUCUUGUGACAAAUGAAUAUAUUACCUGAAAAAAAAAUGACAGGAUAGAUAUUGAAGAAAUAAUUUUUUAUAGGACUCUGGAGUGAAGGGAUUAAUAUUGACCAGAGCCAAUGAGGUCAUCUCAUCCUUGAGGGGAGCAGGUGUGAGCUUCAAAUGCUUAGGGCCUCUGGAAGGAAGCUUCCCUGUUGGAGAAAUCACCAACCGGCUCAGCAUGGUCUGAAUGAGGAUGACAAAAGGAGUUGCUGCACAGGGGGAAAGCGAAGUUCCCAGGAGUAAGAUGUGCAAGAAGGGGGCAGCCUUGCAUCUCAGGGCUGAGUUCCCUCAACUGUGUGCUUGAGGGAAGUUCUCCCCUUGCAGACACACUGCUGAGUGAUAAGGAAGCGCCUAGACUCCACUCUGACCAGACUUGGUUCUGAGGCCUAUGAAAUGUUGAUGGGAAGAACAGAAGCAGGAAAAUCUAUCUAUUCAAAUUUGCAAGACGUGGAAACUUUUAUUCACCUUCCUGGUUAGACUGUUCCUUUGUCAAAGUAAAGCUAAGGCCAUGGAAAAUGAGCUAUUUGAGAGUCUGUCGCUCCAAGGAAGAACAUGCUGGCCUAAUUGUCCCCCAAGUCAGGAGAGAGAAUUGUAAAAAACACUUAAACAGGCCUAAGUAAAGGUCCAGCACAUUAUUUAUUUAAGACUGAAUUAGGACUGAGUCAUUCUGACUCUGAAAAAAGAGUGUUGUUGGAUUCUUAUGUAUUUAGUGGGUCUGCCCUAUUGAAAACCAUUGUGAAGUAUGGUUUCCCAAGCAAGAAAUGACACUUUCACUGUCAGUCUUUCUAGGAGUCUGGCAGAAUCCAGGACCGGGAUUACCCUUAUUUAUGAAGCGACCUUAGACUAACAGUGGCUCUCUGGGUCUCCAGACAAUUGGCCAGGGACUCUAAAAACCAGAAACAAAGUUGAGAGAACUCCAUGCUGGUGGAGAAAAACAGCUGGCCUUUAUCACCAGAAUGUGCCCCAUAGAAGCAGCAAAGCAGCAAGCGACGUUCUUAAACAAGGGCCUGUGGGCCUCGUCAAGAUCUGGAGGAAUCAUCUACGACUCACUGCUGAGUGAGAGGGCUAGGCAGUGUCUUUAAGGUCCUGCCAGCUUUAACAUUGUAUGCUUUUUCUUUUGUUCAAUCUCUCACCACAACUGGAAGUGUUGCCUCAACUACACAGGAGAAAGUUUGCAGUAACUUAGAGAAAACAUUAUUUUAAUCACCAGUGUAUGUUCUCCUGCUCCCUGGACAAAUCCAUCAGCAGCGGCAACACUGACCAGGUCCAGAUUGGGGCCGCUGCGGUGGAUGUGAAUCCAUUGAAACUAGGGGUCUCCAGUGCUCCUGA
rnacentral:antisense_RNA from 1 species